AAGCCUGAUGCAGCGACGCCGCGUGAGGGAUGGAGGCCUUCGGGUUGUAAACCUCUUUUAUCGGGGAGCAAGCGAGAGUGAGUUUACCCGUUGAAUAAGCACCGGCUAACUACGUGCCAGCAGCCGCGGUAAUACGUAGGGUGCAAGCGUUAUCCGGAAUUAUUGGGCGUAAAGGGCUCGUAGGCGGUUCGUCGCGUCCGGUGUGAAAGUCCAUCGCUUAACGGUGGAUCCGCGCCGGGUACGGGCGGGCUUGAGUGCGGUAGGGGAGACUGGAAUUCCCGGUGUAACGGUGGAAUGUGUAGAUAUCGGGAAGAACACCAAUGGCGAAGGCAGGUCUCUGGGCCGUUACUGACGCUGAGGAGCGAAAGCGUGGGGAGCGAACAGGAUUAGAUACCCUGGUAGUCCACGCCGUAAACGGUGGAUGCUGGAUGUGGGGCCCGUUCCACGGGUUCCGUGUCGGAGCUAACGCGUUAAGCAUCCCGCCUGGGGAGUACGGCCGCAAGGCUAAAACUCAAAGAAAUUGACGGGGGCCCGCACAAGCGGCGGAGCAUGCGGAUUAAUUCGAUGCAACGCGAAGAACCUUACCUGGGCUUGACAUGUUCCCGACGGUCGUAGAGAUACGGCUUCCCUUCGGGGCGGGUUCACAGGUGGUGCAUGGUCGUCGUCAGCUCGUGUCGUGAGAUGUUGGGUUAAGUCCCGCAACGAGCGCAACCCUCGCCCCGUGUUGCCAGCGGAUUAUGCCGGGAACUCACGGGGGACCGCCGGGGUUAACUCGGAGGAAGGUGGGGAUGACGUCAGAUCAUCAUGCCCCUUACGUCCAGGGCUUCACGCAUGCUACAAUGGCCGGUACAACGGGAUGCGACGCGGCGACGCGGAGCGGAUCCCUGAAAACCGGUCUCAGUUCGGAUCGCAGUCUGCAACUCGACUGCGUGAAGGCGGAGUCGCUAGUAAUCGCGAAUCAGCAACGUCGCGGUGAAUGCGUUCCCGGGCCUUGUACACACCGCCCGUCAAGUCAUGAAAGUGGGCAGCACCCGAAGCCGGUGGCCUAACCCCUUGUGGGAUGGAGCCGUCUAAGGUGAGGCUCGUGAUUGGGACUAAGUCGUAACAAGGUAGCCGUACCGGAAGGUGCGGCUG
rnacentral:rRNA from 1 species